AUGGGAAACUAUGACGAAAUUUUAUAAAAAUCUAAUCGCGAUUAAAAAGAGAUUAAUGGGGUGAUUAACUUGGUUAAUCGUGAUUAGUAAACUUAAUUGUGAAUAGCGACUCUAAUCAUGAUUAUACAAACCCUAAGGACGAUGGUUAAGUCCUAACCAUCCAAGAGUUUAUAUAAACUCAAAAGGAUACUUUUAUAACAUAAAAUCGGUAAAGUUUUUAAAUAAAACAAUAAAUGUAAUUUUUGAGAAGAUUAUAUUUACAUAUGUUAAAAUACUAUAUUUGGUGUAUGCUACUUAUAUAAUGGGUGUAUGUAUUAGUAGUAGGAAGAAUACUUACCAAAUAUAAAAAUACACUACAUUUGGAAAAUACACCAAACUUAUACACAUGAGGUUCCAUAUAUAUUAUGGUUAACACAAAUAACGGACAAUGAAACGCGGUAUACCUACACGUAUAAUACGGUAUACCUACACGUCUAAUACGGUAUACCUACACGUAUAAUACGGCACACCCACGCGUAUAAUACGGUACACCUACACGUAUAAAUACGGUAUACGUACGCGUAUAAAGCACACAAAUACAAGUAUACAUACGGUAUAUGUAUAUGUAUAAAAGACUCUAGUACAUGAUGAUAUACACACAUACACUCAUUGAAGUAUACUCUCUCACUAAUGUCGUACGCAUACGACAACGUAUUUCGACGUUAAAAAUAAAUAUUUUCAACACUUUUAUCAAUUAAAGGUAUACACUUAUAUUUGUGUAAGUCUCGAAUCAAGUAUACCAGAAACAAAUGCCAACGUAUUAUUAUCGAACUACACAAACUACACAAG
rnacentral:lncRNA from 1 species